AUAUAAGCAAAAUUGACUUUUUAGGUUCAUUCAUUUAAUGAUGUACAUGAUUUAUAAUAUGGACCACAUACAUCAUUAAAUGAAUGAACCUAAAAAGUCAAUUUUACUUAUAU
rfam:Medicago truncatula strain A17 chromosome 6, whole genome shotgun sequence.